AUUUGAUGACUUUUGUUUUUAAAUCCUAAUGCAGAUGUGAUUGCUUCUGGUGGUUUACUUAGACAUCAGCAACAGCUGCCAGCUGGCAGCACCUAUCUGG